rnacentral:rRNA from 1 species
GUGAGGAAUAUUGCGCAAUGGAGGCAACUCUGACGCAGCCAUGCCGCGUGCAGGAAGAAGGCGCUACGCGUUGUAAACUGCUUUUAACCGGGAAGAAACCCCAGGACGUGUCCUGGGUUGACGGUACCGGAGGAAUAAGCACCGGCUAACUUCGUGCCAGCAGCCGCGGUAAUACGAAGGGUGCAAGCGUUAUCCGGAUUCAUUGGGUUUAAAGGGUGCGUAGGCGGAGCGUUAAGUCAGUGGUGAAAUCCUGCAGCUUAACUGUAGACUUGCCAUUGAUACUGGCGCUCUUGAGUGCGCUUGAAGUGGGCGGAAUGUGCCGUGUAUCGGUGAAAUGCUUAGAUAUGGCACAGAACACCAAUUGCGAAGGCAGCUCACUAAGGCGAUACUGACGCUGAGGCACGAAAGCGUGGGGAUCGAACAGGAUUAGAAACCCCGGUAGUCC